UACGAAGGGGGCUAGCGUUGCUCGGAAUUACUGGGCGUAAAGGGAGCGUAGGCGGACUGUUUAGUCAGAGGUGAAAGCCCAGGGCUCAACCUUGGAAUUGCCUUUGAUACUGGCAGUCUUGAGUACGGAAGAGGUAUGUGGAACUCCGAGUGUAGAGGUGAAAUUCGUAGAUAUUCGGAAGAACACCAGUGGCGAAGGCGACAUACUGGUCCGUUACUGACGCUGAGGCUCGAAAGCGUGGGGAGCAAAC
rnacentral:rRNA from 2 species